UAUCGGAACGUGCCCUGGAGUGGGGGAUAACUAGUCGAAAGACUAGCUAAUACCGCAUACGAUCUACGGAUGAAAGUGGGGGAUCGCAAGACCUCAUGCUCGUGGAGCGGCCGAUAUCUGAUUAGCUAGUUGGUGGGGUAAAGGCCUACCAAGGCAUCGAUCAGUAGCUGGUCUGAGAGGACGACCAGCCACACUGGGACUGAGACACAGCCCAG
rnacentral:rRNA from 1 species